rnacentral:misc_RNA from 1 species
GAUGAAGAACGUAGCGAAAUGCGAUAAGUAAUGUGAAUUGCAGAAUUCAGUGAAUCAUCGAGUCUUUGAACGCACAUUCCGCCCCCUGGUAUUCCGGGGGGCAUGCCUGUCCGAGCGUCAUUGCUGCCCUCAAGCACGGCUUGUGUGUUGGGCCCCGUCCUCCGAUCCCGGGGGACGGGCCCGAAAGGCAGCGGCGGCACCGCGUCCGGUCCUCGAGCGUAUGGGGCUUUGUCACCCGCUCUGUAGGCCCGGCCGGCGCUUGCCGAUCAACCCAAAUUUUUAUCCAGGUUGACCUCGGAUCAGGUAGGGAUACCCGCUGAACUUAAGCAUAUCAAUAAGCGGAGGA